AAUUAAAAAUAGAUGGAAUGUUCAACGAAUGUUUUUAUUCAUGUAAAUUAGUUGUUUAAAGCUUCCUUCUCGUUAUAGAGUAAGAAUCUAUAUAGAGACACCAUUUGCUCUGCCGCUCUAUUUUGAGACUUUGCCAAUGAUGCCACCUAGGCGAAAAGAGAUAAUAUCCCUAGUUUUUAAAAUGAUCGAUGGAACCUUGUAAUUCGUUCCCGCGGUGAGUUUUAUGGGAAAUUAUAUAUAAGCACCGCUCCUACUCACUGUUUUGUUUUUGUAAGUAAUCCUCAACACUAUUGCUGUUGCUUUGCACUUGUUGGGUGUGUUGAAAAAUCGAAGUUAGCUUCAAACUUGACCUUGAAUUGGCUCUCAGCAGAGGUUGUGCAGAGCGCCACCGCAGUCCAGCUCCGAGUCCCAACAGGCAUUUUGUACCUUGAGGGCUUGUCCUCGCAAAGAAACAGAACCACCCGUAAUAUGAUCUCCGAAGACCUCUCUAUUAGGACUCCGUACCCCAUAACCACCAGCUAAUUGGCGGCUUAAGCGGAGCUGGAGGACGCGCGGGCUUCUAUAGGGAGAAGGAAAAUAGGGCGCAAGUUAAGGAACAGUUGCAGAAGCCAUGGCCAGCCACUGCCAGGAUGCUGUCCGACUUCCUGCAGCAUCAGCGGAUCAACCCCGUUCUCAAUCCGGCUCCCACUUCCUCAAGGUCCAAUAUGCCUAUUGGGACUCGGAGCUGAACUGCGGUGGCGCGGGAAUAAUGGCGAAGCAUCCAUUUGACGAGAAGGAAGGAACUACUAAUUUACAUAAAUAAAAACAUUCAUUGAACAUUCUAUUUAUUUUUAUUUUAUUUUCUUUGUGUACUAGCAGACUCCUCCUUUUUAAAUUUCUCCAAUUGAUUUGUUUUCCGUUUGGCAACAAACACAGCCUCUUUACAGAAAGGCCAUGCUACAUGCACUGCGGGUGAACCUUGAAAACUUCGGUCACACUACAAAGAAUAAGAUUUUUCGACUAGUGAAACUCUUAGCCGA